UCAAGCUUGUGCAAGCAGGGCUUGGCAAAAGGACAAUCUCAAUUACAAUGGACAUGACACAUUCAGAGUUUUCCAGCUUACUGUAUGAAGCAUUCCCAAAAAUGGAGGGUUUGAGUGGAGGAUGGAUGCUUUAUAAGGCUACUGGGGGGUGUGGUGUAAGGCGGCUAAACAUUAUUCCUCCAGACUCAGAAGGUUACACUGGAUCCCAAAUCAAAACUGCCUCUGCAUCUGGAAA